GACGAACGCUGGCGGCGUGCCUAAUACAUGCAAGUCGAACGCAGUGGGUACGGGUGAGUAACACUUGGGUAACCUCCCCACAGAGGGGAUAACCCUUGGAAACAGGUGCUAAACCUAUACUGAUGGAUGGACCCGCGGUGCAUUAGCUUGUUGGUGAGGUAACGGCUCACCAAGGCAACGAUGCAUAGCCGACCUGAGAGGGUGAUCGGCCACACUGGGACUGAGACACGGCCCAGACUCCUACGGGAGGCAGCAGUAGGGAAUCUUCGGCAAUGGACGAAAGUCUGACCGAGCAACGCCGCGUGAGUGAAGAAGGUUUUCGGAUCGUAAAACUCUGUUGUUAGAGAAGCGGUAUCUAACCAGAAAGCCACGGCUAACUACGUGCCAGCAGCCGCGGUAAUUC
rnacentral:rRNA from 1 species